UACGUAGGUGGCAAGCGUCGUCCGGAUUUACUGGGUGUAAAGGGCGUGUAGCCGGGUUGACAAGUCAGAUGUGAAAUCCUGCGGCUUAACCGCAGAACUGCAUUUGAAACUGUUGAUCUUGAGUACUGGAGAGGCAGACGGAAUUCCUAGUGUAGCGGUGAAAUGCGUAGAUAUUAAGAGGAACACCAGUGGCGAAGGCGGUCUGCUGGACAGCAACUGACGGUGAGGCGCGAAAGCGUGGGGAGCAAACAGG
rnacentral:rRNA from 1 species